CAUCGACAUUUCGAACGCACAUUGCGGCCCUAGGACUUGUUCCUGGGCCACACCUGACUGAGGGUCGGUUGACCAAACUCAACGACCAGACUGUCCUGUGUGUCACUUGUGGCGCCGGACGAGAUUGGAGUCUCCGCGCCUCACGGCGUGGUACUCUUAAAUAAAGUGAGUGUGGGCUCGGCGUUCGCGUCGUCCCACCGAUAUCGCUGCACGGAAAGCUAACCGAGUGGGUUUAAACACGGUCUCACAACCGAGUCGACUUGUCUCGUUCGCUUGGAUCUGAUGGCAACGUCAGUCCCGUGCGCCCGUUUUCGAUUUUUUCAAAACGCGGUGCCGUGGGCUAGUUUGCUUGAGCACAGUGGUCCCUUCGGGACAAAGAUCCUUGCGAGCGGCUCGUGCACAAGUCUCGAGACACAGUGAUAAACUCUAUUUCCUGCGGUGAGCAGCGUUUCGUCUCUGAGGGCGAUUCGCUAUCAC
rnacentral:rRNA from 1 species